rnacentral:rRNA from 1 species
UACGUAGGGUGCAAGCGUUGUCCGGAAUUAUUGGGCGUAAAGAGCUCGUAGGCGGUUUGUCGCGUCUGCUGUGAAAACUCGAGGCUCAACCUCGAGACGUCGGUUGAAACCGCUUGGCUAGAGUCCGGAAGAGGAGAGUGGAAUUCCCGGUGUAGCGGUGAAAUGCGCAGAUAUCGGGAAGAACACCCGUGGCGAAGGCGGCUCUCUGGGACGGUACUGACGCUGAGACGCGAAAGCGUGGGGAGCGAACAGG